CCUCGCACGCUUCCGGAUUAAUAUGUUGAUAUUCUUUUUCCACAAUUUUGGGAUUUAGCGAUUAUCUGUGAGUUGAUUUAUUUGCGUUUAUCUGUAUGUUUGUUUGUUUUUAUUUUUAUUUUUAUCACAAAGUUAGUUAGAUUUUAAUUGCAAUCGGAUUCCUAUGCGAUAUUUGUUCCAACAGAACAGGGGAACAGGUGGAGGAAACGGAGUCAGAGCUGGGGUUGAGGGAGGCGCGGGUGAGGGUGCGGGAUGAGCAUGAUUGGGCAGAAGACGAAGAAGAUGGGGGCAAUUUAAUUAUUUUGUCACACCGUACCCCCCUAUAAAUAUUCUUUAUUUCUUAAGGGGGUAAAGUAUAGGUUUUUGAAUGACCAAAGUGAAAAGUGAAAAAGCAGAUAUUGACAGUGAAAUUUUCUGUAAUUUAGCAUAAGAUUAAUUGGAACUUCAAACAACUCAAUAUGAUAGGGAGAAGGACAUAUAAGGUUUUGGGAUAGGGUUUAUAUAUUUGAUG
rnacentral:lncRNA from 1 species